rnacentral:lncRNA from 1 species
AAUUCGUAUUUUUUAAACUUUUCUGGGUUUGCAAACGACGGUGGAAUGCUUCAUAAUAUGCAUACUGAACUGCCCAGCUUUCUCCGUUGUGUCUAUUUUAUUCUCUCCCGGUGGCGGCAGAAGGUCGAAGUUCUGGACCAACCUUCCAAGAGUGAUUCCGAGAAUGGGUAAGGCUAUGAUAAUCCCAGGGCAGCUCCUCCUUCCAGUGCCGAAAGGCAAGUACCUGAAGUCGUUCCCACUAGCUUCGACCUUGGACUCUUCUUCCAUGAACCUCUCCGGUCUGAACUCCUCCGGAU